GUCCCUCGCAAUGGACAGCGCUUUAAAAUUCUAAUCUAAAUGGCGUGGGUUCGAAUCCCACCUGGGAUG